rnacentral:rRNA from 1 species
UACGUAGGGUGCAAGCGUUGUCCGGAAUUAUUGGGCGUAAAGAGCUCGUAGGCGGUUUGUCGCGUCUGCUGUGAAAACUCGGGGCUUAACCCCGGGCCUGCAGUGGGUACGGGCAGACUAGAGUGCGGUAGGGGAGACUGGAAUUCCUGGUGUAGCGGUGAAAUGCGCAGAUAUCAGGAGGAACACCGGUGGCGAAGGCGGGUCUCUGGGCCGUAACUGACGCUGAGGCGCGAAAGCGUGGGGAGCGAACAGG